UACGGGGGGGGCAAGCGUUGUUCGGAAUUACUGGGCGUAAAAGAGCUCGUAGGCGGUGUGUCGCGUCGGGCCGUGAAAACCUGCAGCUUAACUGUGGGCUUGCGGUCCGAUACGGGCAUCACUGGAGUUCGGCAGGGGAGACUGGAAUUCCGUGGUGUAGCGGUGAAAGUGCGCAGAUAUCAGGAGGAACACCGGUGGCGAAGGCGGGUCUCUGGGCCGAUACUGACGCUGAGGCGCGAAAGCCAGGGGAGCGAACGGG
rnacentral:rRNA from 1 species